GGAGAGCUGACCGAGCGGUUGAAGGUGCUUGAUUGCUAAUCAAGUAUGGGUUCAUAAUCCAUCUGGGGUUCAAAUCCCCAGCUCUCCGCCA
rnacentral:tRNA from 1 species